rnacentral:rRNA from 2 species
UUGGCUGUCCGAGUUGUAAUCUGGAGAAGCGUCUUCCGCGCUGGACCGUGUACAAGUCUCCUGGAACGGAGCGUCAUAGAGGGUGAGAAUCCCGUCUUUGACACGGACUACCAGUGCUUUGUGAUGCGCUCUCAAAGAGUCGAGUUGUUUGGGAAUGCAGCUCAAAAUGGGUGGUAAACUCCAUCUAAAGCUAAAUAUUGGCGAGAGACCGAUAGCGAACAAGUACCGUGAGGGAAAGAUGAAAAGCACUUUGGAAAGAGAGUUAAACAGUACGUGAAAUUGCUGAAAGGGAAACGCUUGAAGUCAGUCGCGUUUGCUAGGACUCAGCCUUGCCUCGGCUUGGUGCAUUUCCUAGUAGACGGGCCAGCAUCACUUUUGACUGCGGGAGAAAGGUUGGAGGAAUGUGGCACCCUCGGGUGUGUUAUAGCCUCUAGCUGUAUGCCGUGGUUGGGAGUGAGGAACUCAGCACGCCUUUUGGCGGGUCUUCGGACACCUUCGUGCUUAGGAUGCUGGCGUAAUGGCUUUAAACGACCCGUCUUGAAACACGGAC